ensembl:miRNA
CAGGCAGCCCCGAGAGUUGGGUUGAGAGUGGCUCCCUGAGCACUGCGGCUGUGGUCAGCUCUAAGGCCUUGUCGGCAGGCUGAGAUUUCAGAGCCUGACAACCCUGUGGACUUAGGAUAGCAGAGACCCACCUCUCCCCGCAUCC